rnacentral:rRNA from 1 species
CUCCGUCGGUUGAUCGCUUCUUAGAGGGACAAGCGGCGCUCAGCCGCACGAGAUUGAGCAAUAACAGGUCUGUGAUGCCCUUAGAUGUCCGGGGCCGCACGCGCGCUACACUGAAGGAAUCAGCGUGUGUCCUCCCCCAGUCCGGCAGGACCGGGUAACCCGCUGAACCUCUUUCGUGAUAGGGAUCGGGGUUUGGAAUUGUCCCCCGUGAACGAGGAAUUCCCAGUAA